GGAUGUGAAGGUGAUCUGGCUGCAACAUCUGUCACCCCACUGAUCACCAGGGUUGAUUCGUCUGAUCUGUCUGGCUAGGUGGGUGAUCCUUUCCUCCCUCAUGUGUGUCCCUCCCAAAGGGUGCUUUGUGACCUUUCCCAAAUACAGAUGAACUGUGGUCAAGGGUAUAUGAGUAGCUGCACUUCCCUGCAAGACCUUCCAAAGAAGAAAAGAACAGUCGAGGCCGGGUGGUGGUGUACCUGGUUAAGCACACAUGUAAUAAUGCACAAGGACCCAGGUU
rnacentral:snRNA from 1 species